UACGUAGGGGGCAAGCGUUGUUCGGAAUUACUGGGCGUAAAGCGCACGUAGGCGGGUCGUUAAGUCAGGGGUGAAAUCCCAGAGCUCAACUCUGGAACUGCCUUUGAUACUGGCGACCUAGAGUCCGGAAGAGGUUAGUGGAAUUCCCAGUGUAGAGGUGAAAUUCGUAGAUAUUCGCAAGAACACCAGUGGCGAAGGCGGCUAACUGGCCCGGUACUGACGCUGAGAUACGAAAGCGUGGGGAGCA
rnacentral:rRNA from 1 species